rnacentral:lncRNA from 1 species
AGGUGAGACCGGAAAGCUUUGGAAAUUGAAAUGUUAAUCGGCCGAAGACCGUUGUUACUGAUCCAAGCUAACCAGGAAAAAAAACUAAAAAUGGUAACGGGAAAAAAACUUUUAGUAAAGUAUUGAAAAAUUCCGUAACGUUGAGAUUAGCACAGGCUUUUUGUUACGGGGCAGAUAUCAUCUACUCUGGCGUGUGGACUCAACGCGAUAUCUAAAAGGAUGAUUGUAAACACAAAUAAUGUAUGGUUAGUGAAAGAAGAGAGGUGGAUCUACUGGAAGUUUCUAUCCUGGUUUUAUGCAGUGAAAGAGUGAAAAUAAUUGCCCAAGUAUAAUUUCGAUCAAUCAAAAUAUCGCAAAGGUAAUUCAAUCUUUUUAUCACAGAGAAAAGAAGGAUAAUCAACAUCACUGGACUUGAAAUUUCGAAGACUACAUGAGCGCUUUCUGCGGACCAUAUCGACUCAGUUGUUAACGAGUGGGCCUUGGAUACACCAAAGACCCAAAUAUUAUUUGAUGUUACGUGAAGAAGCUCUCCCGAGGGAUUAGUGUAUAGUUAAUCAUAUUCGCUUUUCCAAAGUUUAAGAACAUUUUUGUCAUUCGACUCCCAUCACAUAGAUCAGAAUGCAGGUCUGUGUUCGAUCAAAUGCUGCUCCCUUGAGGACUUUUUGGCGUUCAAGUCAUUUGCGAAGCAUCCUCCUACGUUUGGUGUCAUUUUGCAACGUCAUUUAUGGAAACAAUAAACUUUUAAAGACUC